CCGUCAUUAGGUGUAAAAAAUAGAAAUGUUAUCCAAAGCGAGUCGACCUUUGUGUGUUUGUAUAUAUUGGUAUAGGCGUAUGAAAUCACACUAGCCGCUGAGUAAUUGAAUUAUAAUAUUUAUUUUAUUACAUAAUUCGUCACGAUAUAAAUUUUUUUUAUCUUUUUUGUUCACAUGCACAUUCUCUUUUUAUAUUUCUAAAUAAAUAAAUAUCGUACAAAAUGUAUAAUUAAUAAUCAAUAUAUAACUUGCUUAACAGCAGAUUUCGAUAGGGACAACUAAUGACAUUUUGUGAUUUGACAGCUCGGCCACGGUUUGGCCUCCCUAAAAAAAUAUAUGAGAACCUGGCGUGAAAGAGAUGGCGCUUCUUAAAUCGAGUCGCGUUGAAAGCCGUCUAUGAGUGAUACUCGGGUCACCCGAGUCGGGUGAAAGUAUUGAUAUGGGUUAGAAUAUUUUUUUGUUUUCUGUUUUCAUUUCAAAACGAAUAUUUUGUAUUAAAUCCCCAUAAUUUCUCUAAAUAGAGUUAUCCACCACCAUCACCAUCGCAUAUCUAUCAUAGGUCUUUUUAAAUUAAGAAACUACCGCCGAAAUCAUGAGUCAAAAAAUGAUGAACCAAAAGUAAUUGGUGAAAUAUAGAAUUAUUGCUUAUUUUUCUUUCUAUCGACACAGUUUGUGCUGCCGCUACACGACGAUGACGACGACAAACGACAAUAAUCGGCCAUGUCGGCAGUAUCAUCGAACAGUACGCGCACGCACUUGUGUUGGUGUGUGUGUGUACAUUUUAGCUGAGACAAUCAUUUGAUAAAUUGUAUAUGUUAUGUGUGGAGCUUAUAAGAUUACCAUUGGUCAUUAGUAGACUUGGAUCAUGGGUUUGUGGCUUGCGUGCUCCCUCGCACUAUUUGUAUGAAAAAAUAUUUUAAAUAGUUCGAAAAAGACUUACCAUUAACAGUUAUAAAUUGCGGUUUUGAUUCAGCAAUUUCAGCUGCAUCUUGAGUUUGUACAAAUGCAACCUGAGCGGUUAUUUGUUGUGAAUUGGAAUUAUUUGGCGACGAAGCAAUUGAAUUAGUAGGUAAAAUGGUAGAUACGGUAAUUGGUGCCUCAUCUGGAGAAUCCAUCUGAUCAAUUGGUACGACGUCAAUAAUUGAAACACCGUCAGAAGUAGUUCCCGCUUGAAGGAUGUAUUUCUUCUGUGGAUAAAUACAAAGGGGAUUGCUUUCAGAUUAUAAAAUCAUAUAAAUAACAACAAAUUCAGCUUACCUGUGUAUGAGUCUGCAUAAUAUGAAUUGGAGUGUUAGUUGUUUCAGAUACUUGAUUGUCAGUGAUGGUAACAAUUUCACCAUUAGUUGCUGAGGUGGCUAUCGUGGUUGUUGAAUGAUUAGACUGUGUGGUUUUUGAUGAAAUCUGACUGCUUGGAGUAAUUGUAACGAAGUUUCGUUGCAACGCCAAUUGAGUUGCCAUAUCUCCAAAUUUUCUUUUGUAUCGAAUGAGUUCGAGAAAUUUUCUAUUGGUAUAUGAGUCCGUGUUCCUAUUUUUUCACAAUAAAUAGCGAAGGCUUUUUGUUUGAUGUAAUAUGAGGGACGAUCAAACUUGAAUUCCGCAAAAAUUCUAUUCUGAAAAGUCUAAAAAGCAAUAAAUAAUUCAAACUACCAAUAUACAUUUAACUUGAAAAUUCACCACAACGUAUGUAUGUAAUGAAGUGCGAACAUAUGAAAAACAGAAUAGAAGCGUUGUUUCUAUGGUAUCCAAUUUGCCAUUGCCACGGUAACAGUAUACUUCACUUAUUUUAAUAUGUUAUUCGAGUAUAUAUUUGGACCUUACUUGCAAAACAUUGAACUUUUAUUAAAAAUUGAGAGUUAUUUUAUCAUGAUUAUAUUAGAUUAACAAUUGUACACAUAGAAGUUACAACUAAACAACAGAAACUUCACUGUGAAAAUGAAUAGAAACUGUUUUAUACUUUGCCGGUUACGUACAACGCUCAAUCGUAUGGCGGAAACAGUAAAAGUAACUGCUAUUUAUCUAACUGCAUUUUACAGAAUAAAUAAAAAAGGACAAUAAUAAUUAUAUGCGGCCAAGAAAUGAACACAUGCAGGAGGGGACAUUAUCGAUCAAAUAUUUUCUUUUUUGUUAUUUUAUAUUUGUUCCGAUAUAUUUAAAUGGUAGAUUCGUUCUUCACUAUAAAACCCAAACUUGAAAAUACAAUAGAAAUAGGUUGGAUAUAAAUUACAGUGCCCGUCAAAAUUUUGGAACCACCUAGGUGAACUCAAAGACUUUCCAUUUAAAAACCAGGGAAUAUUUUUCGCUGAAUAUUAUUUAUUUUGUUCUUCAUAAGUUAUUGAAACAACAUGCCAAAAAUUAUUGAUUUCUGAGAAUAAAACCCCAAAAAACGGCAUUUUACGGCAUUUUUUAUAAAAUAACUUGGGGGUUCAAAACUUUUGACGGGAACUGUACGUUUUUUGAUGUAGUCUUUGGAAAUACCAAUAUUAUAUUAAAUUUAUCAAAACUUGACAUUAAGAAAUUUAUCCAAUAUGGGGUUUUAUCCAAAAAAGUUGAGGCACUUGGUUAUAUGCACACUUUGAAAAAAAGAAUCUAACAUUGACCACAUGCUACUAUGCAUAGUAUGAUUAAAGACAUGUGUGCUUUAUUUUUACUUUUCGUGUUAUAAUUGUUUGGAACAUUUUUCUAUCAAUUUUCGAAACACAAUAUGAGGGAGUAUUUACAAAUCAGUGAAGCGAAACGGCAAGCUGUUUCAUUACAGUGCCAGCGUAAAUGUCGUCGAGUAUAUUACAUUGAGGUGUAAUAUUGGUUCAUACAUCGCACUAACAGCGUUUUGAACACCUGGAUACCAGCCACUUUGAACUCAUUCAUAAGUUUGAAUUCGGUAAUAUCUCUAGGGAAAAGGAAGGGAGAAAUCACGUGACACUCGGAAAGAUUAUAUUAUGUUUUCUUUGAAUCAAGUAUCUAUGAUGAACCAUUUCAAAAAAUGUUGAAGUUCCAUUUCACUUUUAUAUGGAUCGUUAUUUUUUGAGGAAAAGUAGUUAAAUAAGUAUACUGCAAUUAUUUACUUUGAAUCAAGUUUGAUUUAAAAACUUCAACGCAAGCGAAUUUUAUUUCCAUGGAAGUCUAAUUAUAGCUUUAAAAUGAUGUAGAUAUUUUCAAUUAGAAUCUAGAUAUUUAAAUUUUAAAAAAUAACAUCUAAUAACCUUUAUAAGGUGGUAAACAUUUGAAAAAUCUCCGAAAUGAACCUUUUUUCAAUUACGAUAGCACAAUAAAAUUAGUUUUUGAAUUCACUUAUCAA